AUGGUGGAGUCUGAGCGCCUCUCAGCCCAUGGCUGCUGGACUGCCUUCACCAAUUUCUUGUGCACCAGAAAGGGAACUCUCCUAUUUGCUGAGACUAUACUGUGCCUGGUGAUUCGAAUCUGGUUCAGCAUCUCAACACCAGGAUACUCCACUCUGUCAGUGGUUGAGAUGAUCCUUGCUGAGAUCUUCUUUGUCGUCUACAUGUGUGACCUACCCACCAAGAUACAAUCCAUCAACUGGCCUUGGACUGAUUUCUUCCGGUCCUUCACUGCCAUCACCUUCUACCUAAUCACCUCCAUUGUUGUCCUUGUCGACAGAGGAAAUCGCUCCAUAAUCAUUGCAGGGGCACUGGGCCUUGUUGCUGCAUGCCUCUUUGGCUAUGAUGCCUACAUCACCUACCCCUUGAGGUAA